rnacentral:rRNA from 1 species
GUAGGUGGCAAGCGUUGUCCGGAAUUAUUGGGCGUAAAGCGCGCGCAGGCGGUUCUUUAAGUCUGAUGUGAAAGCCCACGGCUCAACCGUGGAGGGUCAUUGGAAACUGGAGAACUUGAGUACAGAAGAGGAGAGCGGAAUUCCACGUGUAGCGGUGAAAUGCGUAGAGAUGUGGAGGAACACCAGUGGCGAAGGCGGCUUUCUGGUCUGUAACUGACGCUGAGGCGCGAAAGCGUGGGGGAGCAAACAGGAUUAGAUACCCUGGUAGUCCACGCCGUAAACGAUGUGUGCUAAGUGUUAGGGGGUUUCCGCCCCUUAGUGCUGCAGCUAACGCAUUAAGCACUCCGCCUGGGAGUACGGCCGCAAGGCUG